rnacentral:rRNA from 1 species
GAGUUUUAUAUUUAAUUUUAUUUUAUAUUAUUAUAAAAAUUUAUAUUAAAAUGAAAUAAAGUAUUAUAUUGGGGUGAUAGAAAAAUAAAAUAAACUUUUUUUAAAAAUUUAACAUAAAUAAAUGAUUUUUUGAUCCAUUAUUAAUGAUUAUAAGAAAAAAUUACCUUAGGGAUAACAGCGUAAUUUUUUUUUUUAGAACAAAUAAAAAAAAGAGAUUGC